rnacentral:rRNA from 1 species
GGGUUAGUAGGUUGGUCAUGCCUCUGGUAUGUACUGGUCUCACUGAUUCCUCCUUUCUGACGAACCAUGAUGUCAUUAAUUUGGUGUUAUGGGGAGUUAGGACUGUUACUUUGAAAAAAUUAGAGUGUUUAAAGCAGGCUUUAGCUUGAAUACAUUAGCAUGGAAUAAUGAAAUAGGACGUUCGAACCUAUUUUGUUGGUUUCUAGGAUCAACGUA